UCCGGGGUAGCUCAAUUCGGCAGAGCAGCGGACUGUUAAUCCGUUGGUUGUGGGUUCAAGUCCCACCCCCGGAGCCA
rnacentral:tRNA from 1 species